UUAGCCCUAUCGCAACAGGGCAAGCCCAGGAGGCCAGUCAUGUUUUUCGACAACGUGGUGAUCGCCGGAGUGCUGACUGUCAGCCUCAUGGUCAUGUUUUUCGCAGGGUUUGGAUUUUUUAUCUGGAAGGAUUCGCACAAGCGUAAACCGUAGUUCUUUCCGGAUGUAAUGAGCACGCAAGGCAUUUUGGGCAACUUCGGUUGCCCUUUUUUUUG
rnacentral:sRNA from 1 species